rnacentral:rRNA from 1 species
AACGAACGCUGGCGGCAUGCCUAACACAUGCAAGUCGAACGAGACCUUCGGGUCUAGUGGCGCACGGGUGCGUAACGCGUGGGAACCUGCCCUUAGGUUCGGAAUAACUCCCCGAAAGGGGUGCUAAUACCGGAUAAUGUCUUCGGACCAAAGAUUUAUCGCCUUUGGAUGGGCCCGCGUUGGAUUAGCUAGUUGGUAGGGUAAAAGCCUACCAAGGCGACGAUCCAUAGCUGGUCUGAGAGGAUGAUCAGCCACACUGGGACUGAGACACGGCCCAGACCCCUACGGGAGGGAGCAGUGGGGAAUAUGGGAAAAUGGGCGAAAGCCUGAUCCAGCAAUGCCGGGGGAGUUAUGAAGGCCUUAGGGUUGUAAAGCUCUUUUACCCGGGAUGAUAAGGACAGUACCGGGAGAAUAAGCCCCGGCUAACUCCGU